rnacentral:rRNA from 1 species
GAUGAACGCUGGCGGCGUGCUUAACACAUGCCAGUCGAACGAUGACGCCCAGCUUGCUGGGUGGAUUAGUGGCGAACGGGUGAGUAACACGUGAGUAACCUGCACUUAACUCUGGGAUAAGCCUGGGCGACUGGGUAUAAUACCGGAUAGGAGCGCCUACCGCCUGGUGGGUGUUGGAAAGCUUUAUCGGUUUUGGAUGGAAUCGAGGCCUAUGCGCUUGUUGGUGGGGUCAUGGCUCACCAAGACGACGACGGAUAGCCGGCCUGAGAGGGUGACCGGGCACACGAGGACUGAGACACGGCGCAGACUCCUACGGGAGGCAGCAGGGGGGAAUAUUGCACAAUGGGCGAGAGCCUGAUGCAGCGACGCCGCGUGAGUGAUGACGGCCUGCUGGGAGAGAACCUCAUUCAGUAGGGAAGAAGCGAUAGUGACGGUACCUGCAGAAUAAGCACCGGCUAACUACGUG